rnacentral:lncRNA from 1 species
GACAUUACACUAGGUUAGCUGUUGACCAUGUUGGGGUUUAAACCAAAGACAUUACACUAGGUUAGCUGUUGAUCAUGAUGGGGUUUAAACCAAAGACAUUACACUAGGUUAGCUGUUGACCAUGAUGGGGUUUAAACCAAAGACAUUACACUAGGUUAGCUGUUGACUGUUGUGGGGUUUAAACCAAAGACAUUACACUAGGUUAGCUGUUGACUGUUGUGGGGUUUAAACCAAAUACAUUACACUAGGUUAGCUGUUGACCAUGUUGGGGUUUAAACCAAAGACAUUACACUAGGUUAGCUAGCUGCUGACCAUGAUGGGGUUUAAACCAAAGACAUUACACUAGGUUAGCUGUUGACCAUGAUGGGGUUUAAACCAAAGACAUUACACUAGGUUAGCUGCUGACCAUGAUGGGGUUUAAACCAAAGACAUUACACUAGGUUAGCUGUUGAUCAUGAUGGGGUUUAAACCAAAGACAUUACACUAGGUUAGCUGUUGACCAUGAUGGGGUUUAAACCAAAGACAUUACACUAGGUUAGCUGUUGAUCAUGAUGGGGUUUAAACCAAAGACAUUACACUAGGUUAGCUGUUGACCAUGAUGGGGUUUAAACCAAAGACAUUACACUAGGUUAGCUGUUGACCAUGAUGGGGUUUAAACCAAAGACAUUACACUAGGUUAGCUGUUGACCAUGAUGGGGUUUAAACCAAAGACAUUACACUAGGUUAGCUAGCUGUUGACCAUGUUGGGGUUUAAACCAAAGACAUUACACUAGGUUAGCUAGCUGUUGACCAUGAUGGGGUUUAAACCAAAGACAUUACACUAGGUUAGCUAGCUGUUGACCAUGAUGGGGUUUAAACCAAAGACAUUACACUAGGUUAGCUGUUGACCAUGAUAGGGUUUAAACCAAAGACAUUACACUAGGUUAGCUAGUUGCUGACCAUGAUAGGGUUUAAACCAAAGACAUUACACUAGGCUGGUCAUUUGUUGCCUAGAUGAAGGUGAAUGAGAGAAGUGGUGAAUGAAAAACAGAAUGACUCUUCCAUAAACUCCCAUAACAUAUCAUAACAUACUAAAAACAACCAUAACAACCAAAUCCUUUACAUCACACACGCAAUGGACAUUCCAGUUAACAUACAUACAUACCAUAACACACAGUUAUUACUAACAUAACUUAAACUUUAUCAAAAUAGGCGAGUAUUAUAAGGCACUAUAUAGUCUAAACUUAACAAUACUUAUUUGAUGCUGUUUGGAAAUACCACAAGUUGUUGCUCAUUCAUUGCUGUGAUACACACAAAAGGAUGACAUCAUCUACUUGUGCCAUGACAAGACAAAAAUGUAUCUACUUCCUGGGUCAAAGGUCCUUGAAACGGACACGUUUCAUUGGGCAGGUGCAAUAUCAGUCAUAAUAACACCGUGGUGCCUGAAAAGAUAGGUCCUCGUCAACAUUAUACAUGGCGAAACUUGAGUAGUGAGACACUUGACAGAAAUAUAAUAGUCACACAUAUACUUAUUGCACGGGUACUGAAUCAGAGAGAGAACGCUUAUAUAUCUGGGAGCAUUCCAAUGAGAAAAUUACCUUCACCCAUUCCUCCCUCCUUUCCUCCAUCCCUCCCUCCUUUCCCCAUCCCUCCCUCCAUCCCUCCCUCCUUUCCUCCCUCCUUUCCUCCAUCCCUCCCUCCCUCCUUUCCUCAUCCCUCCCUCCCUCCUUUCACCCAUCCCUCCCUCCUUCACCCACCCAUUCCUCCCUCCUUCA